AGGCUUUUCUGGCACCCGAGGAAGUCGGGUCUCUGCCUGCUCCCAAGCAAAAGGGAUAUUACCGGCUGCUCGGUGAGAAAACAAAUUCACAGAGAUACAGGAAAGUGUGUUAAGGUGGUGGGAAGAAACGGGAGUGAGAUUCCUGGCAGCUCGGGUAUCAAGGGUGAACCAAGAAAGCCAACCGAAUCUCCUUGAAGUAAAAAGACUUGAUGAUGAAGAAGACCUGAACUCCUUCCUUAGGCACAGAGGAUGUUGUCUUGAGGUAGCCCUGACUUUGGAAGAGGACUGGAAUGUGGAGAGGCUGCCGUGAGGAGUUGACUUGCUAGCUCUCAGAUUGGGGUGCGGCAGGAGCUGGCAGAGCAGAGAAAUUCCACCCGCAGCACUCACCACCCUCAACCCUUUGCUGGAGCAGGGGCAGAGCGCUAUGGGUACAGAUCCUGAGGCACUUCUUCCCACUCGGAAUCACACUGCUCCCUCAUCGAGGCUUUGAAAGACAAAUGUUUUGUCCCUGAACACAACCAACACCAUUCUCAGCCCAUUCGCAGCUCCAGGAGGCACAAGGACAGCCACCAGCUGGAGCCAAACCUGCUCGGCAAGGAAUCCUGGCCUUCCUGGAGGGAAUAUUCCUCCUCCUCACCCCCUUGUUUGGCAGCCACAGGUGAGCACGCACAACACUCGCUUUCCUCUUCUCAUCAGUAAAGCAGCGACAUGAUGUGGCCAAGUACAACAGUUUAUCUUCACAAACCACUGGGAUAUCUUUAGAUGGAAAGCUGUUGAACUGACAAAAACGUAAAAAAUAAAGAAGUGCCAUAAACAUCACAGAAAAUAUGCUCUUGUUUUUGGGAGGUGAUGGCAGGCAGU